GAACGCUGUAUGACUGGGAAACCGUCACGUACAGUGUGGAGUGGGGGAAAAUCUGGUGAUAAUAUCAAAAGAUUACCUAUCACUAU
rnacentral:ncRNA from 1 species